GAUGAAGAACGCAGCGAAAUGCGAUAAGUAAUGUGAAUUGCAGAAUUCAGUGAAUCAUCGAGUCUUUGAACGCACAUUGCGCCCCCUGGUUUUCCGGGGGGCAUGCCUGUCCGAGCGUCAUUGCUGCCCUCAAGCACGGCUUGUGUGUUGGGCCUCCGUCCUCCUCCCGGGGGACGGGCCCGAAAGGCAGCGGCGGCACCGCGUCCGGUCCUCGAGCGUAUGGGGCUUCGUCACCCGCUCUUGUAGGCCCGGCCGGCGCUUGCCGACACAUCAAUCUUUUUUCCAGGUUGACCUCGGAUCAGGUAGGGAUACCCGCUGAACUUAAGCAUAUCAAUAAGCGGAGGA
rnacentral:misc_RNA from 1 species